rnacentral:rRNA from 1 species
CCUACGGGUGGCAGCAGUGGGGAAUAUUGGACAAUGGGCGAAAGCCUGAUCCAGCCAUGCCGCGUGUGUGAAGAAGGCCUUCGGGUUGUAAAGCACUUUCAGUGGGGAAGAAAGCCUUGGGGCUAAUACCCUCGAGGAAGGACAUCACCCACAGAAGAAGCACCGGCUAACUCCGUGCCAGCAGCCGCGGUAAUACGGAGGGUGCGAGCGUUAAUCGGAAUUACUGGGCGUAAAGCGCGCGUAGGCGGUCUGAUAAGCCGGUUGUGAAAGCCCCGGGCUCAACCUGGGAACGGCAUCCGGAACUGUCAGGCUAGAGGGCAGGAGAGGAAGGUAGAAGUCCCGGUGUAGCGGUGAAAUGCGUAGAGAUCGGGAGGAAUACCAGUGGCGAAGGCGGCCUUCUGGACUGACACUGACGCUGAGGUGCGAAAGCGUGGGUAGCAAACAGGAUUAGAUACCCCAGUAGUC